rnacentral:rRNA from 1 species
AGCCUUCAGCAAACUAAAGCAAGUAUUGAAGGUGAUGCCUGCCCGGUGACUCAACGUUUAACGGCCGCGGUAUCCUAACCGUGCAAAGGUAGCGCAAUCAAUUGUCCCAUAAAUCGAGACUAGUAUGAAUGGCUAAACGAGGUCUUAACUGUCUCUUGCAGGCAAUCGGUGAAAUUGAUCUCCCUGUGCAAAAGCAGGGAUAAACCCAUAAGACGAGAAGACCCUGUGGAACUUUAAAAACAGCAGCCACCCCAAAUAGCAUAACCCCCCAUUGGGCUCACUCACACAUAAGCCACUGGCCUGCAUUUUUUCGGUUGGGGCGACCUUGGAGAAAAGCAAAUCCUCCAAAGAUUAGACCACACCUCUAGACCAAGAGCAACCUCUCAACGUGCGAAUAGCAACCAGACCCAAUAUAAUUGAUCAAUGGACCAAGCUACCCCAGGGAUAACAGCGCAAUCUCCUUUAAGAGUCCAUAUCGACAAGGAGGUUUACGACCUCGAUGUUGGAUCAGGACAUCCUAGUGGUGCAGAAGCUACUAAGGGUUCGUUUGUUCAACGAUUAACAGUCCU